rnacentral:rRNA from 1 species
AAUGAACGCUGGCGGCAGGCCUAACACAUGCAAGUCGAACGGAUCCUUCGGGAUUAGUGGCGGACGGGUGAGUAACGCGUGGGAACAUACCCAAAGGUACGGGAUAGCCUCGGGAAACUGGGAGUAAUACCGUAUGUGCUCGAAAGAGGAAAGAUUUAUCGCCUUUGGAUUGGCCCGCGUUGGAUUAGGUAGUUGGUGGGGUAAUGGCCUACCAAGCCGACGAUCCAUAGCUGGUUUGAGAGGAUGAUCAGCCACACUGGGACUGAGACACGGCCCAGACUCCUACGGGAGGCAGCAGUGGGGAAUCUUAGACAAUGGGGGAAACCCUGAUCUAGCCAUGCCGCGUGAUCGAUGAAGGCCUUAGGGUUGUAAAGAUCUUUCAGGUGGGAAGAUAAUGACUGUACCACCAGAAGAAGCCCCGGCUAACUCCGUG